rnacentral:rRNA from 1 species
UAGGGAAUCUUCGGCAAUGGACGGAAGUCUGACCGAGCAACGCCGCGUGAGUGAAGAAGGUUUUCGGAUCGUAAAGCUCUGUUGUAAGAGAAGAACGAGUGUGAGAGUGGAAAGUUCACACUGUGACGGUAUCUUACCAGAAAGGGACGGCUAACUACGUGCCAGCAGCCGCGGUAAUACGUAGGUCCCGAGCGUUAUCCGGAUUUAUUGGGCGUAAAGCGAGCGCAGGCGGUUAGAUAAGUCUGAAGUUAAAGGCUGUGGCUUAACCAUAGUACGCUUUGGAAACUGUUUAACUUGAGUGCAGAAGGGGAGAGUGGAAUUCCAUGUGUAGCGGUGAAAUGCGUAGAUAUAUGGAGGAACACCGGUGGCGAAAGCGGCUCUCUGGUCUGUAACUGACGCUGAGGCUCGAAAGCGUGGGGAGCAAACAGGAUUAGAUACCCUGGUAGUCCACGCCGUAAACGAUGAGUGCUAGGUGUUGGGUCCUUUCCGGGACUCAGUGCCGCAGCUAACGCACUAAGCACUCCGCCUGGGGAGUACGACCGCAAGGUUG